UCCAGACUCGUCCAAGGGUAGGACUGCGCGCUCUGAACGCGCCAAUCGGGGUUCGAAUCCCUGGUCUGGAUCCA
rnacentral:tRNA from 1 species